CCGCUGCCAAAUGCUAUGUUUAAAAGAAUAUAAAUACAAAUUCAACAGAGAAAUGAUUCCUCAAACACCGCCAUGCGCACACAACGUAACACAUCCGGGUGUUUUCUUCUUCGUCUACUGACAAAAAGCAACAAACACUACAACUCACUA